rnacentral:rRNA from 1 species
UCUUCGGCAAUGGACGAAAGGCUGACGGAGCAACGCCGCGUGAGUGAUGAAGGUUUUCGGAUCGUAAAACUCUGUUGUUAAGGAAGAACAAGUACCGUUCGAAUAGGACGGUACCUUGACGGUACCUAACCAGAAAGCCACGGCUAACUACGUGCCAGCCGCCGCGGUGAUACGUAGGUGGCAAGCGUUGUCCGGAAUUAUUGGGCGUAAAGCGCGCGCAGGCGGUUUCUUAAGUCUGAUGUGAAAGCCCCCGGCUCAACCGGGGAGGGUCAUUGGAAACUGGGGAACUUGAGUACAGAAGAGGAGAGUGGAAUUCCACGUGUAGCGGUGAAAUGCGUAGAGAUGUGGAGGAACACCAGUGGCGAAGGCGACUCUCUGGUCUGUAUCUGACGCUGAGGCGCGAAAGCGUGGGGAGCGAACAG